CCUACGGGAGGCUGCAGUGAGGAAUAUUGGUCAAUGGACGAGAGUCUGAACCAGCCAAGUAGCGUGAAGGAUGACUGCCCUAUGGGUUGUAAACUUCUUUUAUAUGGGAAUAAAAUGUUCCACGUGUGGGAUUUUGUAUGUACCAUAUGAAUAAGGAACGUCUAACUCCGUUCCAGCAGCCGCGGUAAUACGGAGGAUCCGUGCGUUAGCCGGAUUUGUUGGUUUUAAAGGGAGCUUAGGUGGAUUGUUAAGUCAGUUGUGAAAGUUUGCGGCUCAACCGUAAAAUUGCAGUUGAAACUGGCAGUCUUGAGUACAAUAGAGGUGAGCGGAAUUCGUGGUGUAGCGGUGAAAUGCUUAGAUAUCACGAAGAACUCCGAUGGCGAAGGCAGCUCACUGGACUGAAACUGACACUGAGGAUCGAAAGUGUGGGUAUCAAACAGGAUUAGAUACCCGUGUAGUC
rnacentral:rRNA from 1 species